AACGCACAUUGCGCCCCUUGGUAUUCCGGGGGGCACGCCUGUCCGAGCGCCGUUUUCACCCCUCAAGCCCUGCUUGGUGUUGGGGCCCCGCCGCGGUAACACGCGGCGCGCCCUCGAAUGUAUCGGCGCGGCCACCGGCCUCCCAGACACCGCGUUGUCAGAGGAAGUCGGCGAGUCGCCGCCAGCGUUGCGAAAGCGCGCACAACCAAUUGUAAAACUUGGCCUCGGAUCAGGCGGGGAUACCCGCUGAACUUAA
rnacentral:misc_RNA from 1 species